GUAACAUUUCUAGCUUGCUAGAAGAUGACGAGUGGCGGACGGGUGAAUAAUGCUUGGGAACUUGCCUUUGCGAGGGGGAUAACAGUUGGAAACGACUGCUAAUACCGCAUAAUGUCUUCGGACCAAACGGGGCUUAGGCUCCGGCGCAAAGAGAGGCCCAAGUGAGAUUAGCUAGUUGGUAAGGUAACGGCUUACCAAGGCGACGAUCUCUAGCUGUUCUGAGAGGAAGAUCAGCCACACUGGGACUGAGACACGGCCCAGACUCCUACGGGAGGCAGCAGUGGGGAAUAUUGCACAAUGGGGGAAACCCUGAUGCAGCCAUGCCGCGUGUGUGAAGAAGGCCUUCGGGUUGUAAAGCACUUUCAGUUGUGAGGAAAAGUUAGUAGUUAAUACCUGCUAGCCGUGACGUUAACAACAGAAGAAGCACCGGCUAACUCCGUGCCAGCAGCCGCGGUAAUACGGAGGGUGCGAGCGUUAAUCGGAAUUACUGGGCGUAAAGCGCACGCAGGCGGUUUGUUAAGCUAGAUGUGAAAGCCCCGGGCUCAACCUGGGAUGGUCAUUUAGAACUGGCAGACUAGAGUCUUGGAGAGGGGAGUGGAAUUCCAGGUGUAGCGGUGAAAUGCGUAGAUAUCUGGAGGAACAUCAGUGGCGAAGGCGACUCCCUGGCCAAAGACUGACGCUCAUGUGCGAAAGUGUGGGUAGCGAACAGGAUUAGAUACCCUGGUAGUCCACACCGUAAACGCUGUCUACUAGCUGUGUGUGUCUUUAAGA
rnacentral:rRNA from 1 species